rnacentral:rRNA from 1 species
UAGAGUUUGAUCAUGGCUCAGAUUGAACGCUGGCGGAAUGCUUUACACAUGCAAGUCGAGCGGCAGCGCGGGGCAACCUGGCGGCGAGCGGCGAACGGGUGAGUAAUACAUCGGAACGUACCCAGUUGUGGGGGAUAGCCCGGCGAAAGCCGGAUUAAUACCGCAUACGACCUGAGGGUGAAAGCGGGGGAUCGCAAGACCUCGCGCAGUUGGAGCGGCCGAUGGCGGAUUAGCUAGUUGGUGAGGUAAUGGCUCACCAAGGCGACGAUCCGUAGCUGGUCUGAGAGGACGACCAGCCACACUGGAACUGAGACACGGUCCAGACUCCUACGGGAGGCAGCAGUGGGGAAUUUUGGACAAUGGGGGAAACCCUGAUCCAGCCAUUCCGCGUGAGUGAAGAAGGCCUUCGGGUUGUAAAGCUCUUUCGGCAGGAACGAAACGGUCUUUUCUAAUACAAGAGGCUAAUGACGGUACCUGAAGAAGAAGCACCGGCUAACUACGUGCCAGCAGCCGCGGUAAUACGUAGGGUGCGAGCGUUAAUCGGAAUUACUGGGCGUAAAGCGUGCGCAGGCGGUUUUGUAAGAUAGGCGUGAAAUCCCCGGGCUCAACCUGGGAACUGCGCUUAUGACUGCAAGGCUAGAGUGUGGCAGAGGGGGGUAGAAUUCCACGUGUAGCAGUGAAAUGCGUAGAGAUGUGGAGGAAUACCGAUGGCGAAGGCAGCCCCCUGGGCUAACACUGACGCUCAUGCACGAAAGCGUGGGGAGCAAACAGGAUUAGAUACCCUGGUAGUC